UUGGGCAUAGAACUUGUAACUUCGGUGUUAAUAAAACAACAGUAUAUCCAACCAGCUGAGCUAAGAGGCCCUAACAAGGCUCUGUUGUAUCUAUUAUAUAUAAACUGAAUUUGUAACUCUCUAAUGUUAUAUUCCGUGUGAACCCAAGCUGACGAUCACUUGCUCACCGAGAAAUAAUCGAUGGCGACGACCGAAGAAUACGAGAUUGACGAGAAAAAACAAGCUGCCGCUGAUGUAUUGUUUCAAUAUUCAAAGUUUGUGAUGGCUUGUAUUGGGAAUCAAGCUCGACCUUGUGACUUGAGAUUGCAUUUGAUGAAGGAGAUUUCUGGGUUGCCAACUACUCUGAAGAAAUCACCUUCUCAAGGAACAACUUCUCCUGAUCCAAUGGGCGAGUCUUCAAGCUCAGGCACAGACAAAGAGGAGAAAUAUUCUAUCAUUCAAUAGUUAACAAUGAUGGUGGCUAUGAAGAAAAGAAGAAGAAGAAAUAAUUAUCUAUUCAAGAUAUGGGGCAUGUCAGGUUUCUCUACCGGUAGUGGUAACUCUUGCCACAAGGGAGAAGACCAGCAGCUUUUGAGGUAGCUGUAGCAGACUACUCUGUGAGCUUGAAUGUAACUGAAAAGUUCUUAACAGCACAAUCACCAUUGUUAAUGUGACCUUGCUUACAACAUGAACACUGAGACAUGGUAGCACCAAUAAAAUAGCAAAAAGUAAUGGUGUAGUUCACUAGUCUUUCAUUAAAUUGGAAUCCUCUUGCAAUAUAACUCACUUGAAAUUUAGAUUAUCCUGUGAAAUGUUUUUAUCUUUA